rnacentral:rRNA from 1 species
ACACGACUACAUUAGAUACCCCCGUAGUCCUAGGCGUAAAUGAUGCGAGUUAAGUNUGGGGGCAUCUACGAGAUGGCCCUGUGCUGUAGGGUAGCCGUUAAACUCGCUGCCUGGGAGUACGGUCGCAAGGCUGAAACUUAAAGGAAUUGGCGGGGAGCACCACAAGAGGUGGAGGCUGCGGUUCAAUUGGACUCAACGCCGGAAAACUCAUCGGGAGCGACAGCAGUAUGAUUGCCAGGUUGAUGACCUUGCUUGACAAGCUG